CAUGUCUUUUAGUAUUAAAUUUAAAGUCGUGUUUGCCCAAUGAUUAAAUUUAAUGGCCGCAGUAAUUUGACUGUGCAAAGGUAGCAUAAUCAUUAGUUUUUUAAAUAAAAGCUGGAAUGAAGGAUUUGAUGAGAAAAUAGCUGUCUCAGUUUUAAUAUAAAAUUUUAUUUUUGAGUUAAAAAGCUUAAAUAAUCCAAAAAGACGAGAAGACCCCAUAGAGUUUAAUAAGAUUAUUUGGAUUAGGUUAAGUAUUUUAAUUUUGAGGUUUUAUUUGAUUGGGGUGAUUGAAAAAUUUAAUUAACUUUUAUUUUUUUUUUACAUUAAUUGAUGGAUAGUUGAUCCUUUUAAAAGAUUAUAAGAUAAAAUUACCUUGGGGAUAACAGCGUAAUUUUUUUUGAGAGUUCAAAUCGAAAAAAGAGUUUGCGACCUCGAUGUUGGAUUAAAAUUAAAUUUUGGUGGAGGGAUUAAAAUAUUAAGUCUGUUCGACUUUUUAAAUU
rnacentral:rRNA from 1 species